AAGGAUUUAAGUUAAGAAAACUUUCAACCUUCAAAGUUGACAAUAGGAAAAUUUUCCUAAGCCUUA
rnacentral:tRNA from 1 species